GAGUUUGAUCCUGGCUCAGAGCGAACGCUGGCGGCAGGCCUAACACAUGCAAGUCGAACGAACUCUUCGGAGUUAGUGGCGGACGGGUGAGUAACACGUGGGAACGUGCCUUUUGGUUCGGAAUAACUCAGGGAAACUUGUGCUAAUACCGAAUGUGCCCUUCGGGGGAAAGAUUUAUCGCCAUUAGAGCGGCCCGCGUCUGAUUAGCUAGUUGGUGAGGUAAAGGCUCACCAAGGCGACGAUCAGUAACUGGUCUGAGAGGAUGAUCAGCCACAUUGGGACUGAGACACGGCCCAAACUCCUACGGGAGGCAGCAGUGGGGAAUCUUGCGCAAUGGGCGAAAGCCUGACGCAGCCAUGCCGCGUGAAUGAUGAAGGUCUUAGGAUUGUAAAAUUCUUUCACCGGGGACGAUAAUGACGGUACCCGGAGAAGAAGCCCCGGCUAACUUCGUGCCAGCCGCCGCGGUAAC
rnacentral:rRNA from 1 species